GACGAACGCUGGCGGCGUGCUUAACACAUGCAAGUCGAACGGAAAGGCCCUGCUUUUGUGGGGUGCUCGAGUGGCGAACGGGUGAGUAACACGUGAGUAACCUGCCCUUGACUUUGGGAUAACUUCAGGAAACUGGGGCUAAUACCGGAUAGGAGCUCCUGCUGCAUGGUGGGGGUUGGAAAGUUUCGGCGGUUGGGGAUGGACUCGCGGCUUAUCAGCUUGUUGGUGGGGUAGUGGCUUACCAAGGCUUUGACGGGUAGCCGGCCUGAGAGGGUGACCGGCCACAUUGGGACGGAGAGACGGCCCAGACUCCUACGGGAGGCAGCAGUGGGGAAUAUUGCACAAUGGGCGGAAGCCUGAUGCAGCAACGCCGCGUGCGGGAGGACGGCCUUCGGGUGGGAAACCGCUUUCGCCUGUGACGAAGCGUGAGUGACGGUAAUGGGGAAAGAAGCACCGGCUAACUACGG
rnacentral:rRNA from 1 species